AGAGUUUGAUCCUGGCUCAGAGUGAACGCUGGCGGCAGGCCUAACACAUGCAAGUCGAACGGCAGCACAGCAGUAGCAAUACUGUGGGUGGCGAGUGGCGGACGGGUGAGGAAUGCAUCGGAAUCUGCCUAUUUGUGGGGGAUAACGUAGGGAAACUUACGCUAAUACCGCAUACGUCCUACGGGAGAAAGUGGGGGACCUUCGGGCCUCACGCAGAUAGAUGAGCCGAUGCCGGAUUAGCUAGUUGGCGGGGUAAAGGCCCACCAAGGCGACGAUCCGUAGCCGGCCUGAGAGGGUGUACGGCCACACUGGAACUUAGACACGGUCCAGACUCCUACGGGAGGCAGCAGUGAGGAAUAUUGCGCAAUGGGCGAAAGCCUGACGCAGCGACGCCGCGUGGAGGAUGAAGGUCUUCGGAUUGUAAACUUCUGUUAAGUGGGAAGAAAUAGCCACGAGUAAUAUGCGUGGAAGAUGACGGUACCAUUAGAGAAAGCACCGGCUAACUUCGUGCCAGCCGCCGCGGUAAUAC
rnacentral:rRNA from 1 species